UACAGAGGUGGCAAGCGUUGUUCGGAAUUACUGGGCGUAAAGGGCGCGUAGGCGGCUUGGUCAGUCCCGUGUGAAAUCCCUCGGCUCAACUGAGGAACUGCACGGGAAACUGCCUGGCUUGAGUUCGGGAGAGGGAAGCGGAAUUCCGGGUGUAGCGGUGAAAUGCUUAGAUAUCGUCAAGAACACCUAUUGCGAAGGCAGCUAACUAAGCUUUAACUGACGCUGAGGCACGAAAGUGUGGGGAUCAAACAGG
rnacentral:rRNA from 1 species